CAGAGUUUUGAGUUUUUAGUUUAUGAAUUUAAAAUAUUAUAAUAUACGAUAUCUAUAGAAUUUUUAAUUGUCCUUAUUAUCGAUCAUGUAACAAUGGGGCGGGGAGUUAGGUGUGUACACUAGAGCUACCUAGUAAUUAAAUGUAACGAUGUUAAAGAACAAUAAACGAAAGUAUUAACCGAUAGUACGGACCACGGUUAUCUACUGACGAACUAUGAAAAAAAUUUACACGGAAACGUCAUGGCGGGCAGAUAUUGAGCGGACGGGACGUAUAGGUAGCGCUAGUGCCGUGCACGAACCUCCCUCCACUGGCACAUUAAGCUUGCGAACCACAAGCGGCCGAGCGAUACGGCUCUCAUUUCCAGUCCAUUCUAUCUUAGCCCGAGAUAUUUUUAAUUUACUAUAUCUACAACAUAUUAUAAUAUUAAUAUAUAUUAUAUAUUUUUAAAAGACUUUCAAAUAAACC